GUCUGACUCCUCUAAAUCCUCCCAGUCCUGCUGGACGCUUGCUUCGCAGAGAACACAGGCUCAGUAAUUAGCAGAAAUGGUCGGAGAGAAGAUAUCGCGUGUUAUUUUCAGCAAGAGCAUUCACCCUAUGAGGCAAGAGCUUCUUCUGUGGGAUAUUGGCUAGUGAAGUGCCACUGACAAAACACGGAAUAAAAACGCGUGAAAACAGAUUCCCUCUUUCUGCAGAUAUUCCCCUCAACAGCUCUCAAGAUGCUCUGAUACCAUUUCACCCAACCCUGGGAGUACCACAACUGAGCUCUGCCUCCAUUCCCAUCUCUGCCACCACUCGCCACCCUCCCCCCACAAACAGAGAUGGAGAUUUUGGGGCCAUCCAUUCAGCUGUACCAAUUGUUUCCAUGCAAGCCCUAGAGCACAGAAGAUUUGAGAAAAUGUUAUCAGACACUGAAGAGAGAUCCCGAAGCAUUGCAAUUUCCAAG